rnacentral:tRNA from 1 species
GUCUGGAUAGCUCAGUUGGUUAGAGCAUGGGGCUGAUAAAGCCAAGGUUGCAGGUUCAAUCCUUGUAUGGGGCA